CCCAAGGAUUAUUCUACAGUGAAGGUCCAGGAUCCUUCCUUAUAGAUACUUGCAAGCCUAUUCUAAACACAUACACACACCUUGUGUUCAACAACAACUAAAGAUGGAGACUCCGGCAUAGAACAUUUAACAGCUUGCUCAAGAUCGUCCAUCUCCUAAUGGGCAGAGCUAGGUUCUGGAUUCAGACAGCCUGGCUCCACGAUCCAAGUUUUAAAUGCUGAAUCUGAGCAUCAGAGAAGUUAAGGCACUCGAUAAAGACUUCAGUGAUUUUUCCAGAUAAUACAGGGGAAGAAUUGGAACUUAAAGCCAGGUCUUCUGUCUCCAAAUCCCAUGACCUUUAGAGCAUGUUUGAAGGAGAAAGUUCACACAUUUUCAUCUGAGAUACCUACUACUCUUUCUAAAACUAAAUGCGGAGUCUCAGCUGCUUCUAUGAGCUGGGAGGUCAGUGCUCCUAACCCCCACAUUGUUCAAGAGUCAACUGUAUCAGGAAAUACAGAGAGAGGCACGAUGAGAAGGUGGCCAUCUGCAGCCAGGAAGAAAGGCCUCAGGAGAAACCAAACCUGCCGACACCCUGGUUUCAGACUUUCGGCCUCCAGAACUUCAGGAAA
rnacentral:lncRNA from 1 species